AGAAACUUAGGAUAUUUUAAACCAAUAGCCUUCAAAGCUAUAAAAAAGAACAAACCUCUUAGUUUCU
rnacentral:tRNA from 1 species